rnacentral:rRNA from 1 species
UACGGGGGGGGCAAGCGUUGUUCGGAAUUACUGGGCGUAAAGGGCUCGUAGGUUGCCAACUACGUCAGACGUGAAAUCCCUCGGCUUAACCGGGGAACUGCGUCUGAUACUGGAUGGCUUGAGUUUGGGAGAGGGACGCGGAAUUCCAGGUGUAGCGGUGAAAUGCGUUGAUAUCAUCAGGAACACCGGAGGCGAAGGCGGCUUACUGGGGCCAUACUGACGCUGAGGAACGAAAGCCAGGGGAGCGAACGGG